AUGUUACAUCCGGGGCCAAAUUGGAUGGCCGAAUUACCUCUCAACACUGCCCCAACCCAAUCCCUUUAUCCGGUCCAAGCCAUUAUCAACGGCUGAGCGACGCCAUUUUGGUGUUGAAUUCAUCACCGCCCUUCAUCUCUUUUGAUCCAACGGUUUGGAACUCAAUAGCCUCCCCCCUUAAAAAUUUCCUAACAGACCCCCUACCCCCCAAAGACCUCUCAAACACUCUUCCCGUCUCUCUCAUUCUCCACCCAAAGUCGGCGCCGAAAAUCGCCCACGGCGGCGAGCCACCUCCAAACCAUCAUGAAUUAUUACCCUAUAAUCCUCUCACCCUUCUUAUUUUUUAAUCUCUAGUCCAUCUCUCCUAAAAACUCUUCAAUUACGUUGUUUAGUAAAUCUAGAAAUUUCGGACUUGAAACCUACGUUAAUUGGUUUCUCUUGAUGAGUGUAAUUGAUUGACGUAAGUUAUGGUUCAUUUUAUGGCCACAGGUAUCAUAUCAAAUCCCGUUGACUGGCAAGUUUCCUCUCCAAUUGCUCUAUUUUUGUUGCUCCGAUUGGUUCAAGUCCAAUAUAUUUUUGUACUGGUUCGGGUUGAUCGAGAGUUUAGCUGUUGGACCCGCUAUCCGGAGACUUAAGGUAGAUCUGUCGGUGUUCACAGACCUUGAAGUCCAUGUCUAUCUUUUCUAUUUUACUGUUUCUUUCAUUCAAACAGUUGUACUUCUCUCAGACUAUUACUUGUAGUAAAUUCUAGAAUGCUCGUGAAUUAUGACACCAGAUCCGGGAAGUGGUAAAUGAUAAAGUUGUUAUAAUAUUCCGCACU